AACGAACGCUGGCGGCAGGCCUAACACAUGCAAGUCGAGGGACCCGCUUGCGGGGACCGGCGGACGGGUGAGUAACGCGUGGGGAUCUGCCCAAAGGUGCGGGAUAGCCUCGGGAAACUGGGAUUAAUACCGCAUAUAGAUUUCUGUAUCUUGGCUCUCAGAACGAAGUGACUGAGUUGAAAGUUGGCGAGGCCAUCUCCUCAAGUAGCCGCAAGGCGAUAGGAGUGGGUUAGCAAAGUUUCAAUAGAGGCACUUGGUUCUUGGAACCAAGGUGCCGAGAUUGAAAGAUUAAUUUCGCCUUUGGAUGAACCCGCGUUAGAUUAGCUUGUUGGUGAGGUAAUGGCUCACCAAGGCGACGAUCUAUAGCUGGUCUGAGAGGAUGAUCA
rnacentral:rRNA from 1 species